GGCUCACCUAGGCGACGAUCCAUAGCUGGUCUGAGAGGAGGACCAGCCACACUGGAACUGAGACACGGUCCAGACUCCUACGGGAGGCAGCAGAGGGGAAUAUUGCACAAUGGGCGCAAGCCUGAUGCAGCCAUGCAGCGUGUAUGAAGUAGGCCUUCGGGUUGUGAAGUACUUUCAGCGGGGAGGAAGGGAGGAAAGUUAAGACCUUUGCUCAUUGACGU
rnacentral:rRNA from 1 species